GCAGAAUUCGCCCUUAGAGUUUGAUCAUGGCUCAGGAUGAACGCUAGCGGCAGGCUUAAUACAUGCAAGUCGAGGGGCAACAGGGGUAGCAAUACCUGCUGGCGACCGGCAAACGGGUGCGGAACACGUACAGAACCUUCCUUUAAGCGGGGGAUAGCCCAUAGAAAUGUGGAUUAAUACCCCAUAGUAAUAUUUGAUGGCAUCAUUAGAUAUUUAAAGAUUUAUCACUUAAAGAUGGCUGUGCGGCUGAUUAGGUAGUUGGUCGGGGUAAUGGCCCACCAAGCCAGCGAUCAGUAACUGGUGUGAGAGCACGACCAGUCACACGGGCACUGAGACACGGGCCCGACUCCUACGGGAGGCAGCAGUAAGGAAUAUUGGUCAAUGGACGCAAGUCUGAACCAGCCAUGCCGCGUGAAGGAUGAAGGCCCUCUGGGUUGUAAACUUCUUUUAUCUGGGAAGAAAUGCUUGUUUUUUAACGAGUUUGACGGUACCAGAGGAAU
rnacentral:rRNA from 1 species